ACAUGCAAGUCGAACGGUAACAGGAAGCAGCUUGCUGCUUCGCUGACGAGUGGCGGUCGGGUGAGUAAUGUCUGGGAAACUGCCUGAUGGAGGGGGAUAACUACUGGAAACGGUGGCUAAUACCGCAUAACGUCGCAAGACCAAAGAGGGGGACCUUCGGGCCUCUUGCCAUCAGAUGUGCCCAGAUGGGAUUAGCUUGUUGGUGAGGUAACGGCUCACCAAGGCGACGAUCCCUAGCUGGUCUGAGAGGAUGACCAGCCACACUGGAACUGAGACACGGUCCAGACUCCUACGGGAGGCAGCAGUGGGGAAUAUUGCACAAUGGGCGCAAGCCUGAUGCAGCCAUGCCGCGUGUAUGAAGAAGGCCUUCGGGUUGUAAAGUACUUUCAGCGGGGAGGAAGGUGUUGUGGUUAAUAACCGCAGCAAUUGACGUUACCCGCAGAAGAAGCACCGGCUAACUCCGUGCCAGCAGCCGCGGUAAUACGGAGGGUGCAAGCGUUAAUCGGAAUUACUGGGCGUAAAGCGCACGCAGGCGGUCUGUCAAGUCGGAUGUGAAAUCCCCGGGCUCAACCUGGGAACUGCAUUCGAAACUGGCAGGCUUGAGUCUUGUAGAGGGGGGUAGAAUUCCAGGUGUAGCGGUGAAAUGCGUAGAGAUCUGGAGGAAUACCGGUGGCGAAGGCGGCCCCCUGGACAAAGACUGACGCUCAGGUGCGAAAGCGUGGGGAGCAAACAGGAUUAGAUACCCUGGUAGUCCACGCCGUAAACGAUGUCUACUUGGAGGUUGUGCCCUUGAGGCGUGGCUUCCGGAGCUAACGCGUUAAGUAGACCGCCUGGGGAGUACGGCCGCAGGUUAAAACUCAAAUGAAUUGACGGGGGCCCGCACAAGCGGUGGAGCAUGUGGUUUAAUUCGAUGCAACGCGAAGAAUCUUACCUGGUCUUGACAUCCACAGAAAGGUCUCAGAGAUGAGACUGUGCCUUCGGCAACUGUGAGACAGUGCUGCAUGGCUGUCGUCAGCUCGUGUUGUGAAAUGUUGGUUAAGUCCGCAACGAGCGCAACCCUUAUCCUUUGCUGCARCGAUAGGUCGGACUCAAAGGAGACUGCCAUGAUAACUGAGAAG
rnacentral:rRNA from 1 species